rnacentral:misc_RNA from 1 species
AAGUCGUAACAAGGUUUCCGUAGGUGAACCUGCGGAAGGAUCAUUACCGUAGGGGCCUCGCGGCCCCUGCUGAGAUUGCACCCAUUGUCUUUGGAGCACCGUACGUUUCCUCGGCAGGCCCGCCUGCCAACGGGGACACCAAACCAAACCCUUUUGUAGUUGCAGUAAACGUCGUAAAAACAAAUAAUCAAAACUUUCAACAACGGAUCUCUUGGUUCUG